CGAUAAUAAACGGGCAUCAAGUCUUGUGCCGAAGCGAUGGAAGUAGUAAUACUUGGUAGGGGAGCAUUCUCAACGGCGGUGAAGGUGUGGCGGCAAGCCAUGCUGGAGCGUUGAGAAAAGCAAAUGUAGGGAUAAGUAACGAUAAGGAAGGUGAGAAACCUUCCCGCCGUAAGGAUCAGGAUUCCUCAGCUAUGCUAAUCAACUGAGGGUUAGUCGGGAGCUAAGGAGUUAGCGAAAGCGAAGCUUCGAUGCCCAGCAGGUUAAUAGUCCUGCACUUACACCAGUGCGAUGUAAUGACGGAGUUCAUGGGUUUCUACGUACGGACGGAAGUGUGCGUUGAGCCGAGCCCGCAAGGGCAAGGCGAAGAAAUGAGUGAGCUUCCAAGAAAAGUUACUAAGCUUCAGCUGGCUGUAACCCGUACCGCAAACCGACACAGGGAGUCAAGGAGAGAAUCCUAAGGUGCUCGAGU
rnacentral:rRNA from 1 species